AUCGAGUAGAGUACAAGACUCUACUUCUCAGUUUUAAACCUCUUCAUAAAUUUGCGCCACCAUAUCUCUCAAUUUGCCUCAUAUUUACAUCCCGAAGUACCUGCUGGCCUGAAAAGAGGAGCACAACCUGCUGCCAGAGUCGGGAUGGCAGACGCCUAACUUUGGGUUUCAUUUGUCCUUUAAAACAGUGUUCAGGGGCAAUAUAACCGGCUGUGUAUAUGCAGAGUUUGCAUGGAACUCAGCUGACCUCAAUGAACUGAACAGAAGAAAUGAACCAGAGAAGAAAUCAACAGGAGAAGAAGCAGACCUAUCUAUUAUUUUUGCCUGAGGCCGAGAGAGAACCAUCCAUCCCUGUCUGCCCACUACCCGCGUCCACUUUGAGAGACCU
ensembl:lncRNA